GCUGCCGGUGUAAUGGCCAGCUCCUUUUUAAAUUCAUUAGCGGGACUUUGAAGACUCGGCUUCAGUUUGAUAAUGCAUCUAUGCUGUCGCCGAAGAACGGUUUGUCUGGCUUAUAGUUGUCCUUUUGGGACUGUCUCUUAUGAGACACAACACAAUCAACUCUUGACCUCAAAUCAGGUAGGAUUACCCGCUGAACUUAA
rnacentral:misc_RNA from 1 species